AGAGCCCGAGAGACGCCAUUGCAAGCCUCUGCAGAGGCGCUGGAGCUGGGUCAGUCCGCCGCUCACCCCGCGGCCGCACCUUCCCGCCUUCUCAGCUUACAUGGCGUCUUCAACAAAAAGUAAUUGUUUAGAGAAGUGACAAGAUGAAGGAGGACUCUGAGUCCUAGUCUCCCUCCUCGAGUCCCUGUGUGAGCAGAGGUAAACAAUGAAAACUCACCAACCAGGAGAAAUUCACCUAGGACUGGCGCAGAAGAGAACUCUUAAAACUCAACAGUAAGAAAACAGUCCAACUAAAAAGUGGAAAAGACCUGAUCAGACAUGCACCAGCAAUGACACAGCAUUGACUGUUGGGCACAGGAGAAGAGGCUUGACACCACCAGCCACCAGGAAAUGCAGAUUCAGCCACCACGCAGGACACGAGGCACCUGCACCACAGCCGCAGUGCAAGAGAAUGCUGGUGGUGCCCCAAGCUGCCAGGGUGUGGACCUGCUGGAAAUGGAAGACGGCAUGGUGGUUUCCUAUAAAGUUCAAUGUACACAGCCACAUGACCCAGCAAUCCCACUGUUGGGUAUUUAGAGAAUGAAAAACUUAAGUCCACAUAAAAACUGUACGUAAAUGU
rnacentral:lncRNA from 1 species